GACGAACGCUGGCGGCGUGCCUAAUACAUGCAAGUCGAACGCAGUGGGGACGGGUGAGUAACACGUGGGUAACCUCCCAUCAGAGGGGAUAACACUUGGAAACCGGUGCUAUACCGAUACUGAUGGAUGGUCCCGCGGUGAAUUAGCUAGUUGGUGAGGUAACGGCUCACCAAGUCCACGAUGCAUAGCUGGCCUGAGAGGGUGAUCGGCAACACGGGGACUGAGAAACGGCCCAGACUCCUACGGGAGGCAGCAGUAGGGAAUCUUCGGCAAUGGACGAAAGUCUGACCGAGCAACGCAGCGUGAGUGAAGAAGGUUUUCGGAUCGUAAAACACUGUUGUUAGGGAGGCGGUAGCUAACCAAAAAGCCACGGCUAACUACGUGCCAGCAGCCGCGGUAAUUC
rnacentral:rRNA from 1 species